rnacentral:rRNA from 1 species
GAUGAACGCUGACAGAAUGCUUAACACAUCAGCAAUUGAUUGGUGGCGGACGGGUGAGUAACGCGUAAAGAACUUGCCUCACAGGUAGGGACAACAUUUGGAAACGAAUGCUAAUACCUAAUACUGUGAGAGAGCGUUGCGUCCCAUUAGCUAGUUGGAGAGGUAACGGCUCACCAAGGCGAUGAUGGGUAGCCGGCCUGGGAGGGUGAUCGGCCACAAGGGGACUGGGACACGGCCCUUACUCCUACGGGAGGAAGCAGUGAGGAAUUUAGGACAAAGGACCGAAGUCUGAUCAAGCAAUUCUGUGUGCACGAUGAAGUUUUCGGAAAGUAAAGUGCUUUCAGUUAGGAAGCGGUACCAACAGAGGAAGUGACGGCUAAAUACGUGCCAGCCGCCGCGGUAAUUC